GGGGAAUAUUGGACAAUGGGGGAAACCCUGAUCCAGCAAUGCCGCGUGAGUGAAGAAGGCCUUAGGGUUGUAAAGCUCUUUCGCCCGCGAAGAUAAUGACGGUAGCGGGAGAAGAAGCCCCGGCUAACUCCGUGCCAGCAGCCGCGGUAAUACGGAGGGGGCUAGCGUUGUUCGGAAUUACUGGGCGUAAAGCGUACGUAGGCGGAUGCGCAAGUUGGGGGUGAAAUCCCGGGGCUUAACCUCGGAAUUGCCCUCAAAACUGCACGUCUUGAGACCGAGAGAGNUAAGGGGAAUACCUAGUGUAGAGGUGAAAUUCGUAGAUAUUAGGAAGAACACCAGUGGCGAAGGCGCCUUACUGGCUCGGUACUGACGCUGAGGUACGAAAGCGUGGGGAGCGAACA
rnacentral:rRNA from 1 species